rnacentral:misc_RNA from 1 species
UAUGAUCCCGUCUCAUGAUUAGAUAAAGUAGUAGUAUUUCAUGUAUACAUGCUAUUUCGCCGUCCUUGACAGUGUGAUCGUAUCAAAAAUGUAUGUGUUUUGCACCGUAUGUAAUCUGCACGUUUAUGUGAAAAAUAGAGUGUAUUCAGUUGGGAAUAACCAGGAUCAGCUUUUAGAUAGAUCACUGGAAAUGUCGCCAUAUGAUUCUAAACCUUAGUUAUUACAUCAGCCUGAAUUUUGAAAUACAAGCAUGUUCAUGGUACACGGAUUUGUUACAACUCGCUGAAGAAGGAAACCUCGGACAUGGUCGAACGUAGAAUGAAGAAAACAGGACUUUAAAAGACUUACAAUUAAGGAUAGAAUUCUCGGAAGCACAGAGCACUGCAAACACAGCCACAGCCAAACAUAGCUAAAUAGGCCCGCAACAAAUCGAAACUGUAGUAGACAGGUAUUGCAGAGGGAUUGCUUCAAAAAAUAAAUAUUUGAACCCUGGAUUCUGAGCAAAUACUACCAAUGCUGAUGGUUGAAUGUUUUGUUGUCUGGACCAUCCCGCUGUUGGUAAUUCCGUAAUGACAACCGUUUGAGCAAUGAAGGAAAUAAUUAAAGUAAUUAAAAGAUUGAAAAUGGACAAGGAAAUAAUAGUCUGUGAUACGAGUGUAAAAUUGAUUUUGUUACUAUUUACUGUGUUGCUCGGUGUCGUCAUUAUUGCAACUGAAAUAUCAUCGCAGACUCAACGUCAGAACGACUUACUGGAGGAAGAACACACGCCGAGUACAUUACAUGAUCGGGAGCAUCCCAUCAUCGCCGAAAUAGAACAGUUAAUAUUUGGAAGGUGGAAACUUUGCUUAUUCUUAGGUCAUACUUGGCACAUGCUACAAAAUGGAAAGAUGUUUUGGGAGAUGUCAAACAAAAUAUCAGCCAGCUUCCUCCUGAUGCAAAGAAACUGUACCGGACUACCAAUAAAAAGCAGCUGCGAGAUAGGAUGUCGACACAACUUGAAAAAUUGAUAAGUCAGCAAGCUGAAAAAAUUGACGACUUAGAUAUACGUUCAGCAGUUCAAGAUAUCAAAAUAAUGGAAAGGAUCCAGGUUAAGAGAAUGCCCGCACAACCAAGGGAGCAAGAAGAGGUAAUAAUGCAGCUGAUACGCAAACCAAUAUGGACGACAAAACUCAGAACUGUUAUCAACACCGAAAGAAAAAAACGAACAUCGAUCAUUGAUUUAAUCCGCCAGAAUCUGUUUGGACAAAACUGAGACAGUUUAUCGUCAGCAGGGACGAAUCUUCAAUUUUCAUAUUGCAUUGUUAUUUAGAAUAUAAAUUAAACAUUUUAAGAAUC